rnacentral:rRNA from 1 species
GAGUUUGAUUAUGGCUCAGAUUGAACGCUGGCGGCAUGCUUUACACAUGCAAGUCGAACGGCAGCACGAGUGCUUACACUUGGUGGCGAGUGGCGAACGGGUGAGUAAUGCAUUGGAACGUGCCUUGUAUUGGGGGAUAACUGAGCGAAAGCUUAGCUAAUACCGCAUACGCCCUGAGGGGGAAAGCUGGGGAUCGUUUGACCUGGCGAUAUAAGAGCGGCCAAUGUCUGAUUAGCUAGUUGGUGAGGUAAAGGCUUACCAAGGCGACGAUCAGUAGCGGGUCUGAGAGGAUGAUCCGCCACACUGGGACUGAGAGACGGCCCAGACUCCUACGGGAGGCAGCAGUGGGGAAUUUUGGACAAUGGGGGGAACCCUGAUCCAGCCAUGCCGCGUGUCUGAAGAAGGCCUUCGGGUUGUAAAGGACUUUUGUUGGGGAGCAAAGGUAUCUGGUUAAGAGCUGGAGAUUAUGAGAGACCCAAGNNGC